GAUGAACGCUAGCGCCAGGCCUAAUACAUGCAAGUCGAGGGGUAGAAGAGGCUUGCUUCUUUGAGACCGGCGCACGAGUGCGUAACGCGUAUGCAACCUACCUUCAUCUGGGGGAUAGCCCGGAGAAAUCCGGAUUAAUACCGCAUAAAAUCACAGGAUGGCAUUAUCCAAUGAUCAAACAUUUAUGGGAUGGAGAUGGGCAUGCGUGUCAUUAGCUAGUUAGCGGGGUAACGGCUCACCAAGGCGACGGUGACUAGGGGAUCGGAGAGGAUGGACCCCAGCACUGGUACUGGGACACGGACCGGACUCCUACGGGAGGCAGCAGUAAGGAAUAUUGGUCGAUGGAGGCAGCUCUGAACCAGCCAUGCCGCGUGCAGGACGACUGCCCUAUGGGUUGUAAACUGCUUUUGUUCGGGAAUACACCUUAUUACGUGUAAUAAGCUGAAUGUACCGAAGGAAUAAGGAUCGGCUAACUCCGUGCCAGCCGCCGCUGUAA
rnacentral:rRNA from 1 species